rnacentral:rRNA from 1 species
GAUGAACGCUAGCGGCAGGCCUAAUACAUGCAAGUCGAACGGUGUAGCAAUACACAGUGGCGCACGGGUGCGUAACACGUAUGCAACCUACCUUACAUUGGGGGAUAGCCUUUCGAAAGGGAGAUUAAUACCGCAUAAGACAGUAACUGGGCAUCCAGUAGCUGUUAAAGAUUUAUCGAUGUAAGCUGGGCAUGCGUCCAAUUAGUUAGUUGGCGAGGUAAUGGCUCACCAAGACGAUGAUUGGUAGGGGAACUGAGAGGUCAAUCCCCCACACUGGCACUGAGAUACGGGCCAGACUCCUACGGGAGGCAGCAGUAGGGAAUAUUGGGCAAUGGGCGCAAGCCUGACCCAGCCAUGCCGCGUGCAGGAAGAAGGCGUUAUGCGUUGUAAACUGCUCUUAUACAGGAAGAAACGACCCUUGCGAGGGGCAUUGACGGUACUGUAUGAAUAAGCACCGGCUAACUCCGUGCCAGCCGCCGCUGUAACAC